AAGGGGCAGCUAGUGGCAGGGCCUGAGAUGGGGUCAGGGAGCUGGUAACAUCUGGCAAAGCCACUGUCCCAUCAUGCAAAGUUAGAGACAGGUGGCGACUGAGACUGAAGACCAGCACCCCACCGAUGACUCAUAUCCCAGAUUCCCAGGGAGAACCAAUGUGGAAAUGCAUUGAGGGUGAAUCGGCCUGACCUCACCAAUGUUACCAAGAAUCUCUGGAAGGAAAUAUCUGAUAUAGUGAAACCUAAGUACACACCAGACAGGGCUUCUGCUUGAUGGAACCAAGCUUCAAAGUGGUGGGCUGGGAUUGGAGCGGACACUUCACUUCUGAGAAUCCGUGGACCCAGAAGAGAACAAUGGAUGACUUCUAUCUCCAAAGGUGUAGCACUGUCACCCGGAAGUGGUGGACUUCUCACCGAGCAGGACUUGUUAGAGAAGAGAGGCCAAUGGCUCAACACGGAGGCUGCUGCUGUGUGUCUCACUGCAGACGGGAUUACUCGUGACAGAAAUGAGCAACGAGGGUCUCAGUCCAGUAUCUUGGCUCCUCCUUGGCUCCUGGUCAGCCUCAUGGGUAUCUGACCUGCGGUCAUACAGGGCCCUGUGCUCAGACGGACUCUGUGCUUGAUUUAAAAUU